CUCGGAAGCUAGACGUGUGGCAGG
rnacentral:miRNA from 1 species